GGCAGUGUAGUAUAAUGGGUAAGAUGUUGGCCUUGUAACCUGAAGGUCACAGGUUCGAUUCCCCGGUAGGACACUGCUG
rnacentral:tRNA from 1 species